CGGCGGCCGUAACUAUAACGGUCCUAAGGUAGCGAAAUUCCUUGUCGGGUAAGUUCCGACCUGCACGAAUGGCGUAAUGAUGGCCAGGCUGUCUCCACCCGAGACUCAGUGAAAUUGAACUCGCUGUGAAGAUGCAGUGUACCCGCGGCAAGACGGAAAGACCCCGUGAACCUUUACUAUAGCUUGACACUGAACAUUGAGCCUUGAUGUGUAGGAUAGGUGGGAGGCUUUGAAGCGUGGACGCCAGUCUGCGUGGAGCCAACCUUGAAAUACCACCCUUUAAUGUUUGAUGUUCUAACGUUGGCCCCUUACCGGGGUUGCGGACAGUGUCUGGUGGGUAGUUUGACUGGGGCGGUCUCCUCCCAAAGCGUAACGGAGGAGCACGAAGGUUAGCUAAUCCUGGUCGGACAUCAGGAGGUUAGUGCAAUGGCAUAAGCUAGCUUGACUGCGAGCGUGACGGCGCGAGCAGGUGCGAAAGCAGGUCAUAGUGAUCCGGUGGUUCUGAAUGGAAGGGCCAUCGCUCAACGGAUAAAAGGUACUCCGGGGAUAACAGGCUGAUACCGCCCAAGAGUUCAUAUCGACGGCGGUGUUUGGCACCUCGAUGUCGGCUCAUCACAUCCUGGGGCUGAAGUAGGUCCCAAGGGUAUGGCUGUUCGCCAUUUAAAGUGGUACGCGAGCUGGGUUUAGAACGUCGUGAGACAGUUCGGUCCCUAUCUGCCGUGGGCGCUGGAGAAUUGAGGGGGGCUGCUCCUAGUACGAGAGGACCGGAGUGGACGCAUCACUGGUGUUCGGGUUGUCAUGCCAAUGGCACUGCCCGGUAGCUAAAUGCGGAAGAGAUAAGUGCUGAAAGCAUCUAAGCACGAAACUUGCCCCGAGAUGAGUUCUCCCUGAGACUUUAAGUCUCCUGAAGGAACGUUAAAGACGAUGACGUUGAUAGGCCGGGUGUGUAAGCGCAGCGAUGCGUUGAGCUAACCGGUACUAAUGAACCGUGAGGCUUAACCUU
rnacentral:rRNA from 1 species